rnacentral:rRNA from 1 species
UACGGAGGGGGCUAGCGUUGUUCGGAAAUACUGGGCGUAAAGCGAACGUAGGCGGCUUGGCAAGUCAGGGGUGAAAUCCCAGUGCUCAACACUGGAACUGCCUUUGAAACUGCCAGGCUUGAAUCCUGGAGAGGCGAGUGGAAUUCCGAGUGUAGAGGUGAAAUUCGUAGAUAUUCGGAAGAACACCAGUGGCGAAGGCGGCUCACUGGCUCAUUACUGACGCUCAGGCGCGAUAGCGUGGGGAUCAAACAGG